rnacentral:rRNA from 1 species
UGGGGAAUAUUGGACAAUGGGGGCAACCCUGAUCCAGCCAUGCCGCGUGAGUGAUGAAGGCCUUCGGGUUGUAAAGCUCUUUUGGCGGGGACGAUGAUGACGGUACCCGCAGAAUAAGCCCCGGCUAACUUCGUGCCAGCAGCCGCGGUAAGACGAAGGGGGCUAGCGUUGUUCGGAAUUACUGGGCGUAAAGCGAGUGUAGGCGGUUGCCGUAGUCAGGUGUGAAAGCCUUGAGCUCAACUCAAGAAAUGCACUUGAUACUGGGUGACUAGAGGACCGGAGAGGAUAGUGGAAUUCCCAGUGUAGUGGUGAAAUACGUAGAGAUUGGGAAGAACACCAGUGGCGAAGGCGGCUAUCUGGACGGUUACUGACGCUAAGACUCGAAAGCGUGGGGAGCAAACAGGAUUAGAUACCCUGGUAGUCCACGCCGUAAACGAUGGGUGCUAGACGUUGGCGAGCUUGCUCGUCAGUGUCGCAGCUAACGCGUUAAGCACCCCGCCUGGGGAGUACGG